rnacentral:rRNA from 1 species
GAUGAACGCUGGCGGCGUGCCUAAUACAUGCCAGUCGAGCGAACAGACGAGGAGCUUGCUCCUCUGACGUUAGCGGCGGACGGGUGAGUAACACGUGGAUAACCUACCUAUAAGACUGGGAUAACUUCGGGAAACCGGAGCUAAUACCGGAUAAUAUAUUGAACCGCAUGGUUCAAUAGUGAAAGACGGUUUUGCUGUCACUUAUAGAUGGAUCCGCGCCGCAUUAGCUAGUUGGUAAGGUAACGGCUUACCAAGGCGACGAUGCGUAGCCGACCUGAGAGGGUGAUCGGCCACACUGGAACUGAGACACGGUCCAGACUCCUACGGGAGGCAGCAGUAGGGAAUCUUCGGCAAUGGGCGAAAGCCUGACGGAGCAACGCCGCGUGAGUGAUGAAGGUCUUCGGGUCGUAAAGCUCUGUUAUUAGGAAAGAACAAAUGUGUAAGUAACUAUGCACGUCUUGACGGUACCUAAUCAGAAAGCCACGGCUAACUACGUG